AUGAGGUUAAUGUGCUCACCGAUAAGGUUCGCGCAAAUGAUUGAUGUGUUAGAUGACGAGCACCUAAAGGCCAUCUGCACUCAAACCGGUCUUGGAGGGCUAACAAAGAUGAAGUCAGUGUCUCUCCGACGUAUUAUGUUGGUGCUGCUAGCGAAGAGCUACAUCCACGACAUGCAGAGUAUUCACAUUGCUGCACCCACGGUACAAGAUUAUGUCGACUCCAAAUAUUUCGUCCUUGUUGAAGACGUCGCAAGAAUUCCCAAUUUUAACUGGGGAUGUUUCACACUGGACCAUUUGAUAACAUCCAUCAAUACUUUUAAUUAUAAGGAUCAAGUCAAUCUACAAGGAAAUAUAGCUUUGCUCCAAUUUUGGUAUUGGGAACAUGUUCGUGCUGGAUCGAUUUUGUAUUCUCGUAUACCCCGUCCGCUGAUGGCACGGUGGGAUGAAGCCACAGUACUGAUUCUUUAUAUCUUUUCAAAGGUUGUCAUGAACAUUGGCGGUCUGGAGCCAACCAACAUUACAAAUGACCAGCAUACCAACAAAGAUACACAUGCGCAUGAAGAUGCUAUCUAUCGACCACAACCACGAGGUCAAACUAUGAGUAGCCAACAAAUGGACAUGAUACUUCAAACCCAGAACGAUCUAUUUGCAGAACAAGAGAAAAAGUUGGUCAAACAAGUAGUAGAAGUAGAGCACAAAUUAGAUAAAAGAAUAAUCACCGUGACCGAGGACGUGAUAAACAUAAGGGGUAAAAUUGCCACUCAACCUAGGUUGUCCAAGCUGGAGGACGAAGUUGGAGACCUCAAAAGGGAAGUUGGAGACCUCAAAAGGGAACUCCAGGAACAAGAGCAACCAAGCAAUGGCAAGUUUUCAUCAACUCCUGGGUUUGACGCAUGGAAAGCACGGACUUCUGCUGGUACACCUAGUGCAAAACCUGUGGUGCAAAACGAGGAGUUGGACCAAGACAUCCCACCACGGAAGCCUGUAUUCAACAAUGAUUACAUAUUGACAGAUGAAGACUAUGAGGCUGCACUUUUCAUCCGAGGGAGUCACGACCUUGUUGAGGUAGUUCACAUCGAAGACAUUGUGCUAACAGUUCAUCAACUCAAGACAAAUGUUAGCAAACUAUUCUUCGUCGAUGACGUUAUUAAUGCAUAUGCACACAUUAGCAAUGUUGCAACUGAUGCUACAUCAUUCAUUUCCACCGUAGAAAGCAGAAGAUUGCUAGGCGAAUUUGGGGGUAUUCCAAUGGGAUGCAAAAGCCCACAUGUUGCUAAUGUAGCAACGAAAUUUGUAGGACGCAAAAUGGUACGUGUCCCAAUGAAUGUGCACAGCAUGCACUGGUUAUUACUCGUGUUUAAUUUAGACAAAGAAGAGACCCAGGUCCUAAACUCCAUCCAAGCAUAUCGUGACAUUGCCAAGGAAACUGCACUGGUGGAGUCCAUUCAGGCGUGUAUCAACGAAGCGGUCGAGGAUGGCUUGGUAACACUGCCUAAACCCAUCAAUAUUACCCAGUGGAAAACCACUUGCUAUACUAACAUACCACAACAGACGGAUGGUUAUUCCUGUGGGGCGUACACACUCAAAUACAUGUUGACAUGGGACGGAGACAAAAUUACUGAGGAUUUCACACAGGAAGAAAUACAUAUUUUCAGCUGGAAAAUAUGUUCAAGCUUGCUGCGUUCGGAUUGCAACAAGCUUCGGAAAAAAUCAUACAAGAAUCCUAUAGAGAAGGACGAGUACAAAGCCAGCAUUCCAGAGGAACGAAAAGGUGCAGACGAUGACGUCACGAUUGUCAGCCCCCCUGAUGUUACAAACAAACCAGACACAUCCGGUGCCCCAAAGCGUAAACGUGGACGCCCGAGGAAGAAUGCCCCUCCUAGUAAUCCAGUGAAACAACAAUUUGACACAGAGACUAUCGCUAAACAAGUGGAGUCAAAAAGACGCAAGCGCAAACCAUCAAACGCCGUGUCCAGCCCAUUCGUACAACCAUGA
rnacentral:rRNA from 1 species